rnacentral:rRNA from 1 species
GAUGAACGCUUGCGGCAGGCUUAAUACAUGCAAGUCGAACGGUAACAGGGUCUUCGGACUGCUGACGAGUGGCGGAUGGGUGAGUAACGCGUAUGCAACCUUCCUCACACCGAGAAAAAGUCGACUGAAAAGUUGAAUAAAGUCUCGUGAUGUACACGUCCCGCAUGAGAUGUGUAUGAUAGAAGCAAUUUGGUGUGAGAUGGGCAUGCGUAUCAUUAGCUAGUUGGUAGGGUAACGGCUUACCAAGGCGACGAUGAUUAGGGGGCCUGAGAGGGUGGUCCCCCACACUGGGACUGAGACACGGCCCAGACUCCUACGGGAGGCAGCAGUAGGGAAUAUUGGUCAAUGGGCGGAAGCCUGAACCAGCCAUGCCGCGUGAUGGAUGACGGCCUUAGGGUUGUAAACAUCUUUUCUGCUAGAGGAAUAUAGUUCACGUGGGACA